rnacentral:rRNA from 1 species
GAGUUUGAUCAUGGCUCAGGAUGAACGCACAAGACGUGCCUAACACAUGCAAAUCGAAUGAAAAUAAUUAAUUAUUGUUUUCAUGGUGAACGGGUGAGUAACACAUAAGAAUCAGCUUUUAGAUAAGGCAUAAAAGAGUAAUAUCUUGGUAAUUCCUUAUAUGCGCAGCAGUGCUUAAAAAGGGGAGUCCCGUCUAAAAACGAGCUUAUGCCUGAUUAGCUAGUUGGCGAGUUAAAAGCUCACCAAGGCGAAGAUCAGUAGCUGGCCUGAGAGGGCGGCCAGCCACAUUGGGACUGAGACACGGCCCAAACUCCUACGGGAGGCAGCAGUGGGGAAUCUUCUGCAAUGGGCGCAAGCCUGACAGAGCGGCGUCGUGUGAAGGAAGAAGGCCUGAAAUAGGUUGUAAACUUCUUUUACUGAGUAAUGAAUAAUGACAAUGCAGUAAAAAAGUAUCGGCUAACUCCGUGCCAGCAGCCGCGGUAAUACGGGGGAUGCAAGCGUUAUCCGGAAUCACUGGGCGUAAAGCGUCUGUAGGUGGUUUAGUGUGUUCUUAGUUAAAUUAUGAAGCUUAACUUCAUGAAAAGUAAGAAAACUAUUAGACUUGAGUACGAUAGGGGUAAGAGGAAUUCUUCGAGAAGUAGUGAAAUGCGAAGAUACGAAGGAGAAGAUCAUAAGCGAAGGCUUCUUACUGGGUCGUAACUGACACUGAGAGACGAAAGCUAGGGGAGCGAAUGGGAUUAGAUACCCCAGUAGUCCUAGCUGUAAACGAUGGAUAUUCGGUGCCGGAAAUUUUAUUAGAAACAUUUCGGUACCCUAGCUAACGCGGUUAAAUUAUCCCG